ensembl:lncRNA novel transcript
AAGAAAAUUUCUUGAAAAGUUCUAUUUCUUCAAUCAUGCCUCCCACAACGGCCAGGCCAGCACCGCAGAGCUGGGCCGCCCGCCGGGACACGGCUCCGCACACCUCCUUCACCACGAUGCUGUCCUCACACGUGCUGUCCAGGCCCAGCUGCUGCAGAAUCCUCCUGACCUGGAGAAGGGCCAGCCGAUCGCUGCAGGCAAUAGAGCAGGGAGUCAGGACCUGCUUCCCAGGACCCCGGGAUGUGCCCAGUGUGACCCACAGCCUCCCCAUUCUUAGAUGCCCUUACAGGAGGGAGGAGAAAUUGACCCAGGCAAUGGCUAGGCUGGAGCAGAAUGCCUUAGAAGCCGAGACUCAAGAAGGUCCACCACCCCUGGAAGUUCCAUCAACUUUAAAAAAUAAAGUGUGAAUGCCUCUGGUGUUCAGCAUGUUCAUA